AGGUGGUAAAUCCUGGCCAAGGCUCCUCGAGCCAGGCCGGCUGGCAGUGCUGCAUCGUGCUGAAGGCGCUGAGGUUGCAGCGGAUGCAUUCCGGGCCAGUGAUAUGAUGUGGACAGGAAAAGUCUUUUGUUCUGGGAAAAUGGAGGACUGAAACCUCUUCAUGUCUUUUUCCCAGGCCCUGAUUUAGGAAGACCAAAACAGGGACUUCUACAGUAGCAGCUUAAUCAGCAGAUGCUGGGUGGUCGCCUCUGCACAUGGCCUGGGGGGCGGGGCGCCUUACCGCGUCACACUGGGUGGAUGGGCCUGUGUGUGGCCUCUCUCCAGCUGUGGCUGACAGUACUCACUCAGCCCAGGCUUCCAGGCCCUCCUGGGCCCUCCUAUCCACUGAAGGAAAUGGGAGAUGAGUGGGUAAUGGAAAAGCCUUUGGAGUCAGAUGUAAAUCCAUGACUUGACCACUUAUUGCUGUGAGACCCUGGACAGCUGGAUAUAGAGUUCUUGUUCUAGCAUCCGCCCUGGGAAUCCCCGGAACUGGGCCUCUUACCGACACCAUUGCCUGUAAUCCACAAACCUAGGAGUUACUCCAGUUACUGUCCUACUGAAGGACCCCCAUCCCAUCUGGGCUACUAUAACCACAUGGACCAUCCCUUGCUUCAAUCAUAGAAUUCUUUCUUCAGAUCAAAGUAUAUUCAGACACUCGAUACAGUAACAAAAGCAAGCUAUCCUGGAAGGAAGAAGGAAUCAGGAGGCAGAGCACAUGGUUAAAGCAUGAGAUGUGAAACCAGGAAGAACCAGGUCUGAACCUUAGCUCCACCAGUGGUAGCUUCAAACCUUGGUCCUUUCUGAGCCUGCUUCUUCAACCGUAAGAUAAGCGACCAGAAAACAGUCCUCUCUGAAUCAGACAAACUUCAAGAGCUACAAGGGUUAUUAACACAUGAAGUAAAGAGUCAAACAGUAAUCUGCAGCUCAUCCCCUAUUCUCUUCUUGCAAUCGGGAUGCUGCCUGACUACCAACACACCUGCACAAAGCCCUCUGCAGCACCUGCCACUGGCCCAUGCUUUUGUCAUUGCCACCUCCAGCUCAGCCUCAUUCCCCUCCAGGCUCUGCUCCAACGCACAGGACCACAGGAACUCGGAAACGGGACCCAGAAAGUUGUUUUCUCAAGUGGAUGGAACAACACAAGCAAUCACUGCAGUUUACUGACAAGAUCAAAGAUGGUAGUAUAUCUCUGGUUUAUAGAAGAAAUUUACAUUUCUCUAAAAGCUUUUGAUAAACUUAACAAUUCAAAAGAAA
rnacentral:lncRNA from 1 species